rnacentral:misc_RNA from 1 species
GAUGAAGAACUUAGCGAAAUGCGAUAAGUAAUGUGAAUUGCAGAUUUCAGUGAAUCAUCGAAUCUUUGAACGCACCUUGCGCCUUGUGGUAUUCCACAAGGCAUGCCCGUUUGAGUAUCAUUAAAUCAUCAACUCUAAAACCUUUGUGGUUUUUUUUAGAGCUUGGUCUUGAGGGUUUUGCAGGCUUUUUUUUUUUUUUCGAGUCUGCUCCCUUUAAAUGCAUUAGCGAGACUUCCCUAUGCUGAACCGUCUCUUUGACGUGAUAAUUAUCUGCGUCGAAUUUUGGUUCUCGUUGGGCUUGCUUCUAAUCGUCUGUUAAAGACAAAACGGAUUUGGGUGCAUAUAUGCGCCUUUUUCCAAAACCUUUUUUUGAUCUCAAAUCGGGUAGGACUACCCGCUGAACUUAAGCAUAUCAAUAAGCGGAGGA